GGUUGCGAUCAUACCAGCACUAAUGCACCGGAUCCCAUCAGAACUCCGCAGUUAAGCGUGCUUGGGCGAGAGUAGUACUAGGAUGGGUGACCCCCUGGGAAGUCCCCGUGUUGCAACCC
rnacentral:rRNA from 1 species